CUCUUACUUCUCCCUCCAGAAAAACAAGAACUUUCCAAGCACCAGGUGGCAGGUAGGAGCCUGUCUCUUCUGUUUGGACAUCUAACAGGACUCUUUAUCAGUCUGCCCCAACUCAGGCCCAAGGAAAAAGUUUACCUUUGGGAGAAGAAUGCAGGGAAGAACAAGAGAGCAGAAGCCUGACAGCCAGACAACCCUGUCCUAAGGAGCAAGCUCUCCCACUGGGCCUCAGAUUUAAUCAAAACACUGCCUUCCACCAGAAGUAGACAGAACAAGUAUUAUUUUAUGGGGGAAGGGAGCAUGUCUCUGGAGUGUGAUGGGGAGCCCUGGCCGGGUCUGGCUGUAAUUAACUAGCGUGCUUCAAAGGGCAGGGAGUGGGGGGAUCAAGAUGGCCUGAUAAAUUAAGAAGGGGGUUAUCAUAAAGUCUCCCUGUCCGAGACAGCAGGGCCGACCGGAGGCUGGAGACCCUGGGUCUCCUUUCAGCUGGCCUGACAGGCGGACCCCCUGCAGCGCCAGGCAGGAGAAACAGCACGGAUCCGUGCGGACCGCUCUAGGGGGUAGAGCAUUUCAACCCGAAAAGCACGCGUUGGCGGGGGGGUUCCCGGUGCCGCUCUGGUACAAAAGGCUGCCGAGCUGGGAAACCUGGCAGGGAGGGUGGAGCAUUCAGAAGGAUAUACAUGUACUCAUUCUGAGAGCUGCAGUUUGGAACCGAAACCAAGAAUGCUCGAGCCUCUUUCCAGCUCUAGACCUCAGUUCCUAGCCACAUCCAGAGUGUGCGUGUGUGUGUGUGUGUGUGUGUGUGUGUGUGUACGGCGGAGGGACGCCGGGAGAGGCCAGGGUAAAUGUUCUUUCAAGCAAGCGACAGCCCCGACUCUCCCACUUUACUCGGAGCCGGAAGGACUGGCUGGAUCUCUCUUCCUUGGGCAAGACGGAGAAACUGAGGCCCCGGAAAGGUCUCACAGAUUGGGCUGGAUGCCAGUUCUCGAAUCUGGCGGCACAUAA
rnacentral:lncRNA from 1 species